rnacentral:rRNA from 1 species
CACGUAGGGUGCGAGCGUUGUCCGGAAUUAUUGGGCGUAAAGAGCUCGUAGGCGGUGUGUCGCGUCGGCCGUGAAAACCUGUAGCUUAACUGUGGGCUUGCGGUCGAUACGGGCAUCACUGGAGUUCGGCAGGGGAGACUGGAAUUCCUGGUGUAGCGGUGAAAUGCGUAGAUAUCGGGAGGAACUCCAGUGGCGAAGGCGACUACCUGGCCUGUUCUUGACGCUGAGGCGCGAAAGCUAGGGGAGCAAACGGG